rnacentral:rRNA from 1 species
AGGAUGUUGGCUUAGAAGCAGCCAUCAUUUAAAGAAAGCGUAAUAGCUCACUGGUCGAGUCGGCCUGCGCGGAAGAUGUAACGGGGGCUAAACCAUGCACCGAAGCUGCGGCAGCGACACUAUGUGUUGUUGGGUAGGGGAGCGUUCUGUAAGCCGUUGAAGGUGGCCUGUGAGGGUUGCUGGAGGUAUCAGAAGUGCGAAUGCUGACAUAAGUAACGAUAAAGCGGGUGAAAAGCCCGCUCGCCGGAAGACCAAGGGUUCCUGUCCAACGUUAAUCGGGGCAGGGUGAGUCGACCCCUAAGGCGAGGCCGAAAGGCGUAGUCGAUGGGAAACAGGUUAAUAUUCCUGUACUCGGUGUUACUGCGAAGGGGGGACGGAGAAGGCUAUGUUAGCCGGGCGACGGUUGUCCCGGUUUAAGCAUGUAGGCGGAACGAUUAGGUAAAUCCGGUCGUUUAUUCAACGCUGAGGUGUGACGACGAGGCACUACGGUGCUGAAGUAACAAAUGCCCUGCUUCCAGGAAAAGCCUCUAAGCAUCAGGUAACAACGAAUCGUACCCCAAACCGACACAGGUGGUCAGGUAGAGAAUACCAAGGCGCUUGGAGAGAACUCGGGUGAAGGAACUAGGCAAAAUGGUGCCGUAACUUCGGGAGAAGGCACGCUGAUGGUAGGUGAAGCGACUUGGCUCGUGGAGCUUGAAAUCAGUCGAAGAUACCAGCUGGCUGCAACUGUUUAUUAAAAACACAGCACUGUGCAAACACGAAAGUGGACGUAUACGGUGUGACGCCUGCCCGGUGCCGGAAGGUUAAUUGAUGGGGUUAUCCGUAAGGAGAAGCUCUUGAUCGAAGCCCCGGUAAACGGCGGCCGUAACUAUAACGGUCCUAAGGUAGCGAAAUUCCUUGUCGGGUAAGUUCCGACCUGCACGAAUGGCGUAAUGAUGGCCAGGCUGUCUCCACCCGAGACUCAGUGAAAUUGAACUCGCUGUGAAGAUGCAGUGUACCCGCGGCAAGACGGAAAGACCCCGUGAACCUUUACUAUAGCUUGACACUGAACAUUGAGCCUUGAUGUGUAGGAUAGGUGGGAGGCUUUGAAGUGUGGACGCCAGUCUGCAUGGAGCCAACCUUGAAAUACCACCCUUUAAUGUUUGAUGUUCUAACGUAGACCCGUGAUCCGGGUUGCGGACAGUGUCUGGUGGGUAGUUUGACUGGGGCGGUCUCCUCCCAAAGAGUAACGGAGGAGCACGAAGGUUAGCUAAUCCUGGUCGGACAUCAGGAGGUUAGUGCAAUGGCAUAAGCUAGCUUGACUGCGAGCGUGACGGCGCGAGCAGGUGCGAAAGCAGGUCAUAGUGAUCCGGUGGUUCUGAAUGGAAGGGCCAUCGCUCAACGGAUAAAAGGUACUCCGGGGAUAACAGGCUGAUACCGCCCAAGAGUUCAUAUCGACGGCGGUGUUUGGCACCUCGAUGUCGGCCUCAUCACAUCCUGGGGCUGAAGUAGGUCCCAAGGGUAUGGCUGUUCGCCAUUUAAAGUGGUACGCGAGCUGGGUUUAGAACGUCGUGAGACAGUUCGGUCCCUAUCUGCCGUGGGCGCUGGAGAAUUGAGGGGGGCUGCUCCUAGUACGAGAGGACCGGAGUGGACGCAUCACUGGUGUUCGGGUUGUCAUGCCAAUGGCAUUGCCCGGUAGCUAAAUGCGGAAAAGAUAAGUGCUGAAAGCAUCUAAGCACGAAACUUGCCCCGAGAUGAGUUCUCCCUGACUCCUUGAGAGUCCUGAAGGAACGUUGAAGACGACGACGUUGAUAGGUCGGGUGUGUAAGCGUAGCGAUACGUUGAGCUAACCGAUACUAAUGAACCGUGAGGCUUAACCUU